rnacentral:rRNA from 1 species
GACGAACGCUGGCGGCGUGCUUAACACAUGCAAGUCGAGCGGUAAGGCCCUUUCGGGGGUACGACGAGCGGCGAACGGGUGAGUAACACGUGGGUGACCUGCCCUCAGCUCUGGGAUAAGCCUGGGAAACCGGGUCUAAUACCGGAUAUGACUCCAUGACGCAUGUUGGUGGGGUGGAAAGCCUUGUGCGGCUGAGGAUGGGCCCGCGGCCUAUCAGCUUGUUGGUGGGGUGANGGCCUACCAAGGCGACGACGGGUAGCCGGCCUGAGAGGGCGACCGGCCACACUGGGACUGAGACACGGCCCAGACUCCUACGGGAGGCAGCAGUGGGGAAUCUUGCGCAAUGGGCGAAAGCCUGACGCAGCGACGCCGCGU